AUGCGUGUAAGAGCUGCCAUGAAGAUGGCAUACCUCCUGGCCUUCGCCGUGGUCUUGCUCUCGGCGUGCAGCCUCGCCUCCUCGAGGUCGCUGCCCUCGGUCACCACCCAUGGAGCCGACGCACAGCUGGAAGGUGGCCGAGCCGCGCGCGCCAAGCUCGACCCUCCAACCGCGAAUGCCGAUAAACCGCCGGAGCUCGGCAUCCGCGACGACGGUGCCAUUCAGACUGAGAAGAAAAAGCGCCAUGCCGAGGCGCCGCCCAAGCACCACGGGCCUGGCAAACACGCUCCCCCGGCCGACCCUUCGCCGCCGGCGCCUGAUCCGGACGGCGGCCAGCCCCCGGAGGUACCUGUUCCGGAGGGCCCGCACGACCAGAACCCGCCGGCGUGGCCGUUCCCGUGGCCGCAGCCGCCACCGGGCAACGACCAGUGGCCGCCGUUCCACCCGCCGCCGCUCCCCGCGUGGACGCGUCCGGGCGACGACCGGCCGCCUCUGUCUCCGUUCCCGUUCCACCCACCGCCACUUCCUGCAUGGCCGCAACCAGAACCAGGCGACCAGUGGCCCCCGCUGCCGGCAUGGCCGCAGCCAGAACCAGGAAAGCAGUGGCCCCCGCUUCCUGCAUGGCCGGAGCCAGGACCGGGAGAGCAGUGGCCGCCGUUCCCGGCAUGGCCGCAGCCAGAACCAGGAAAGCAGUGGCCGCCGUUCCCGGCAUGGCCACAACCGGAGCCAGGAAAGCAGUGGCCUCCGUUCCCGUUCUACUUCUACCCGCCGCCGAUGCCGUCAUGGCAGUGGCCGCCAGCACCGUCUUUCCACGGCGAGGAGGAACAACACGCAUCUAGGCUGGCGCCGCCUGUUCCAGCGCACAACUGA
rnacentral:rRNA from 1 species